rnacentral:rRNA from 1 species
UACGUAGGGGGCAAGCGUUGUCCGGAUUUAUUGGGCGUAAAGAGCGUGUAGGCGGCUAGGUAGGUCCGUUGUGAAAACUCGAGGCUCAACCUCGAGACGCCGAUGGAAACCAUCUGGCUAGAGUCCGGAAGAGGAGAGUGGAAUUCCUGGUGUAGCGGUGAAAUGCGCAGACUAUCAGGAAGAACACCCGUGGCUAAGGCGGCUCUCUAGUACGGUACUGGACGCUGAGACGCGAAAAGCGUGGGGAGCGAACAGG